AUCAUAGAGGAAAAUCCAUGU
rnacentral:miRNA from 11 species